CCUGGUCACUAUCUCUUUAUUAAUAUGUUCUGUUUGGCAAGAAAUAAUUCUCACAUUUUCCUUUAAUUCUUUAGACAUGGUUUUCUUUAGCUCUUUGAAUACAUUUAUAAUAGCUUUCUAGUAAGUCCCCAAGUCUGACUUCCUUACGGAUAAUUUCUAUUGGUUACUUUGUUCCUUUAUAUGAGUCAUACUUCCCUUUUUCUUUCAGUGUUUUAUGGUUUUUUGUUGAAACAGUAACAUUUUAAAUAAUAUAAUGUGGUUACUCUGAAAAUCAGAUUUCUCCCUCCUCAGGAUUUGUUGUUAUUGCUGUUGAUGAUAAUAUCUGUUUAGUGCUUUCUUGGACUAAUUCUGAAAAGUCUGCAUUCCUUGUCAUAUAUGGCCACUUAAGUCUCUGCUCAAUUAGCUUACUGAUUGAACAGUGAUUUUAAUAAAUUUCUU
rnacentral:lncRNA from 10 species